rnacentral:rRNA from 1 species
CAGUCGCCACGGUAACACGGAGGGUGCAAGCGUUAUCCGGAUUUAUUGGGUUUAAAGGGUCCGUAGGCGGACUUAUAAGUCAGUGGUGAAAGCCUGUCGCUUAACGAUAGAACUGCCAUUGAUACUGUAAGUCUUGAGUAUAUUUGAGGUAGCUGGAAUAAGUAGUGUAGCGGUGAAAUGCAUAGAUAUUACUUAGAACACCAAUUGCGAAGGCAGGUUACCAAGAUAUAACUGACGCUGAGGGACGAAAGCGUGGGUAGCGAACAGGAUUAGAUACCCCAGUAGUCCCUGUCUCUUAUAC